GUACUCGCUUCGGCGGCACAUACACUAAAAUUGGAACGAUACAGAGAAGAUUAGCAUUGUCCCUGGGCAAGGAUGACACGAACAAGCGUGAAGCGUCACACAUUUCU